rnacentral:rRNA from 1 species
UACGAAGGGGGCUAGCGUUGCUCGGAAUCACUGGGCGUAAAGCGCACGUAGGCGGAUUGUUAAGUCAGGGGUGAAAUCCUGGAGCUCAACUCCAGAACUGCCUUUGAUACUGGCGAUCUCGAGUCCGGAAGAGGUGAGUGGAACUCCGAGCGUAGAGGUGAAAUUCGUAGAUAUUCGGAAGAACACCAGUGGCGAAGGCGGCUCACUGGUCCGGUACUGACGCUGAGGUGCGAAAGCGUGGGGAGCAAACAGG